rnacentral:lncRNA from 1 species
CUGGGAAUAUAGCUAAGUGGUAAAAGUGGUUAAAUCCCCAGUAACACACACACACACACACACAGGUAUCAUCUUUACCAUCUACUCUCCACACAUUUGUCCUCUUUAAAAGUUAUUCGUUUUCCCAUAAGUGCUCUUUUCACCCUCCCUUCUCCUAUUUACAUGUCCCAAAUUCUAAACACCUGCUUAAAUCACAUUUUCCUGUGAAUUCCUUCCUACGUACAUGUCUUUCCUCUUUUUAAUCUGUCCGUUGCUGGUUUAAUUUGCAGGCUCCAGUAAUUUAACCUAUGAGGAUGGAGGAAGGUAGCUUCUCCUGCCAAACAGAUUCUCAGCGUCCAACACUGCUGGUGCCUUCCCUCCAUUGGAAAAAACUUGCUGACCCCUUGCCAUCGCUGGUGUCCAGGACACCUUUACAAGCUAAUUUAUCUCCCAUUGAGUAUGCAUCCAAGGGUACUAUGAUCUCUACAGCUGAGUUUCCUUCUCACAAAGUGAACAUAUGCUAGAAUGUAUGCCUCACCCAGGAGGGCCACCAUCUAGCGACACGGUCAGCAGGUCUUAGAGGUUAAGUAGGCACUUACUGUGGGGGACUCACUGUGGUCUUCAGGGCAGCCCCUAGCUCUGUGGGAGAAAGGGAAUCCCUUUUGGAGGACCAACUCAGUCAUCUAACUCCCCAAGGAUGGAUGGACUGAGCAGUAUGCUGUCUUCUUACUUGCUAUUAGGGGCCAGAAUGAAAGGGGACACACAGGCCAUGUAAGCUACCAGGAGACAGCACAUCUCCCUCAAUGCAAGCCUAUUCAUGAGCAUGAUGGGUAAAAACUAAACUUGGGCCUGCUCUGGGCAGGGAAAGAGAAGCCCAUGCCCAGGGAGCUCUGCAGGGGCUAUCUAAACUCUGACUUCCUGGAACCCUGUAGCAUCUUUCUGAGGUCAAUGAUUUCUGUCCAACUUGUGCAGUGAGCAAAUCUGGGGAUCAGACCCAACUGGCUGCAAAUAUAAAGAGGGUGGCACUUAUUAUCAACACCAGGGCAGCUAGAGAAGGCAAGGUUAGUCUGUGAAUAGACAGGGAUCAUGAUAUCCCAACACCUGGAUGUGGGGACAUCACAGAUAAAGUCCUGUACCCAUAGUCCCGUACCUCUGGCUCCUGCCCAAAUUUCU